rnacentral:rRNA from 1 species
AGCGAACGUUAGCGGCGGGCUUAACACAUGCAAGUCGAGCGAGAAAGGGGCUUCGGCCCUGAGUACAGCGGCGGACGGGUGAAUAACACGUAGGUAACCUUCCUUCCAGCGGGGGACAACGGUCCGAAAGGACCGCUAAUACCGCAUACGUUCCCUGGGACCCUGGUCCCGGGGAGGAAAGCUCCGCAAGGGGCACUGGAUGAGGGGCCUGCGUAGCAUCAGCUAGUUGGUGGGGUAAUGGCCUACCAAGGCUAAGACGCUUAGCUGGUCUGAGAGGAUGAUCAGCCACACUGGGACUGAGACACGGCCCAGACUCCUACGGGAGGCAGCAGUGGGGAAUAUUGGACAAUGGGCGCAAGCCUGAUCCAGCCACGCCGCGUGAGUGAUGAAGGCCUCGGUCGUAAG